rnacentral:rRNA from 1 species
AUGACAUGCUUGAGCUGGAACUGCCGGGAGCUUGGGAACCCCGAGGCAGUUCGCGAGCUUCGCAGUAUACUGAAGCUAGAAGGACCCACUCUUCUCUUUGUGAUGGAAACGAAAAUUCAAGCUAAAAGAGUUGAGGCUUUGAAGUUUACCCUCGGUUUUGGAGGGUGUUUUGCAGUCGAUAGUGUCGGCCUAGGUGGUGGCAUUGGUCUGUUUUGGUCACGUGAUGUG